rnacentral:misc_RNA from 1 species
UCCAGGUUAUCCCUGGCGGUCUCCUGCGAGUUCCGUACAUGUCAAGGGUAGGUAAGGUUUUUCGCGUUGCGUCGAAUUAAACCACAUCAUCCACCGCUUGUGCGGGCCCCCGUCAAUUCCUUUGAGUUUUAAUCUUGCGACCGUACUCCCCAGGCGGAUGACUUCUCGCGUUAGCUGCGUUACUAAAGGAUUUAACUCCUCCAACAACUAGUCAUCAUCGUUUAGGGCGUGGACUAC